CCUCUGUUUCUAAGAAUUCAACCCACAGUCCUAUUUUAAAUGGUCAAUCAAAAAACGUUUUGUACUUACAAAAAUGUCCCUGCAUUGUUUAUUAUUCUACUCGCAUCGCUAUUUGAAUUGCUAAACAAAGACCACACACAGGCACGACCACGGGCUCUCCUCCUCGCGUACAGGUACGGCGCAGCCGCCGCCGCCAUGCGCGGCCGCGCGGCCGGUCUUCUUCUCCAACCAUCCGCCGCCUCCCCAUCCACUUCCAAUCUUUUCGGGCGCCACCCUAAACCUCCUUCGCUGCUCGCCCCAUGCGUCGCGCUGUGCGGGAUUCCUCGCUGACCCGCCCUUCACAGUUCCAUUGUAUCCCCUUCUCCAGCGUUCCCUUCAGCCACUGCCAACUCCAGCCACCGCCCUCCCGUGCUCCUCUCCUGCAAGAUCGAGGCAACCCGGGGAGGGACAGCAAGACGGCACCCUGGGGAGCCAGAUCCAGGAGAGGCAAGAUAAGGAUGGCAGCAGAACGGGGGCAUGAAGUGCAGCGUAUGCACAGAUGGGUUGAGCACUCACUGCGUUUGUCCAUGAUCAUGACUACUAUCUUCAUCCAACGAUACUUGCAAGGAGGCCAUCAUGUUGACAAGAAAGUUGCUGCUCAGCCUAUUUUUACAACCAGAAAAAUGCAAUUCUACGAGAAAGUAAAUGUAGGAUUUUUUUAGGGUGCAUCUAUAGAGCAAACAUGUGUUAAACAACAGUUUGAUUUGGAUGUUAGAAGUAAAGAAAGUUGUAAAACCAAAGCAGCAUUGGUUAGGAUUCUUACAAAAAGUGUGAUCUGAAGUAAGAAAUCUCUACUCCUAAUAGACGAGUUGGUUGAAUAGUCCCACCACUUUCAACCGGUUUAUUUUCAACCGGUUAUUUUUCGUUCCCCCCCCCGCACCCACGCACGCAGCCAAAAAUCAGGCCUAAAAAAACCACUCUAUCGAUCGCGUGACUCGGAGGCCCGUCAGCUGAUCCCCCGACCAAGGAAGGCACGACCCGCUGCCCCUCUCUUCUAGGGUUUCAAGCGGCGGCGACACAGGCGGUGGCGACGGCGGUUGGCCCGCACCACCACUCACGUCUGUCGCCACGGCCACAUGCCUCGUCGCGACGACAUCGACGCCACCUACGCACCGCACGAUGUCGCGCCUCGCUCGCCUUCUUCGACGAUGCCCGAUGCAGCCAAGCCAGGUGUGCCUCUGCCUUAGCCGACGCAGUCGGCCAUGACCAGCAGCAAUCCCCAAGCCUGACUCGCCGCUGCCGCCUGCCGCGGCUCCGCCUCCUCCUCUGCCGCCAGGGCGCUGUGUGAGGAUAGCCGCCGCUUCAUCCAAGGACGCUCUUAUCAAAGGCCGGGGCGCUGCUGACGGAUGCCGCAUCUGAGUCCAUGGCGGACCUCUUCCCUUCAUCUCUUCUCUAUUCGGCCCUGUGAGACUUGGAACACACUGCUCGAAGGUGACGGGAUGCCUGGGGCAACUGCUGAUGCCGGAGAGGGUCAGCUAUUCUGAACUGGAUUGGGGAGAUCAGUUUUUGUCAGCGAGAGGGCUAUAAGGAGGGCCAUGGCAUUGGUCGGGGAGGAGAACACACUGAUCAAGAUAAUUUUUGUGUUUCAGAGCAAUCAUUUGAGGACGUACCUGAUGCAGAGGGCGAAUCAAGAGAAAUGGAUGCUCCAUUUAGAGG